AUGGCGACUCCGCAACCUCCAAAAUUAAAAUUCAAUGAUUUUCUAGAUCAACGUAUGCAAGAUAGGUCAGGAGGAAAGGAACAGUGGAAGUCAAUAAAGAAGGUUUGGGAAGGGUUGAAGUUGAAGUGGACACAGGCAGGUUAUUUAGUAGGGGGAACGCCAAAUAGGGUCCAGCUUAGCACAAUGGAAGGCGAGUUGCGUGAAGCAUUACAGGAAGCUAAAGACAGGGAGAUAGAACAGAACAAGUUGCAUGUAUUCAAGAAGGAAGGGACUAAACAGAGAGAGAAAGCAGAAGCUGAAUUGAAAAUAGGCACUUGGGCUAUCGAGGAGACCCGUAGAGCACAACUGAACAAAAAACCGGAAGUGAUGGGGGUAGUGGCUGGGGCGAAGGCGGAGUCAUCAAUGGAGGCGACACAGGGGAGUGACGAAGUCAAAUUGGCCCCUGCAGCAGUCUCCCCCACUCCUGUGCCACGUUUAUACCCGAAGCUACCAGAAGAGGUCACUCAACCACCACCAUAUUCAUUGACAACCCAAGCUCCCUCAGCCCCCUCCAUCCAGGCACCAGUUCUCCACAUCGAGGAAGGCCUGCUACAGGGACAGGUGUCAAUGCAUUUGACUGGAGGCUAUAUAGACUGUGAGGAGGUAGGACAACCCUCCACCCCCUGCUCUCUAGAAGGCGGAUUGGUGUCCACACCCCAGGGGGGUCGAAGCCUACAAGAAUGUGGAGAAGGACAGGUAACUGUGGGAGAAAGGAGCCGUGACUCAUGUAAGUCACUCAAAUUUUCCCAAGAACCCUUAAUGAACACCAGCCUACUGCAGCCAUCAAGUUAUCAGACACUCACGUCUCACUCCUUUCAGUCAAAGCCUUCCAUUCAGUUCAGAGAGCUACCAGACUCCAUCAGAUCCCCUGCAUCUCGAAGUGUUGGGUCAGCCAGAUCCCACCUGAACGAAAGAACCAGGGGAACUACUGUCUACAGUGGGGAGCAUGAGCAUUCCUGUCCUGAAGUGGAUGUCCAACGUGAAUAUACCUAUUCACACAACGAGCCUGAGGAAGAGGACGAAGAUGAGCUAGAAAGAGUGACAACUGAUGAAGUAUGGCAAGCUGCCCUACAACUUAAUGCGGAACACAGACAUGCAACCGGAAAGGGUGGACCAUGGCAACUGAAUGGGUAUUACUUGGGAGAUGUUGAAGACCUGCAUGGACAGAUACCGCCGAGACCGGCACCAAGGAGGUCUAAACGCAUACAAGACCAAAAUCAACUAAGAAGAGAACAAGAACUACAAAUGCCUCUGAGACUGAGUGAAAACAAAAAAACCGAAGAAUAUGUGCCAUGGAAAAUGCAAGACCUCACCGCCGUAAUGGAACAACUUCCUAGUCUCCAUGGAGGAGCAUCAGCUUGGCUACUACAGUUACAGACCCUCACAUCAGGAUUCCGGCUGGCACUGGGAGACAUGAAAGCUUUGUUGGCUAGAGCUACUGAUCACACCACUAUGGAUGUAUUGAUAAAUACAGCUGGUCUGGGAACCCAACCAGGUGCCACUCCACCAGAGAAGUAUCGCACUCAACUAUGGGCAGAACUCAGAAGAGCCUACCCCACCGAGAAGAAUUUUGCUGCACUAUCAUCUUUCACCAUGCAUGCAGGAGAACAGGCAGCCGAAUAU
ensembl:lncRNA